GUUCUACUGGCGCAACGGUAGCGCGUCCCCCUCCUAAGGGGAAGGCUCCGGGUUCGAGUCCCGGGUGGAAUG
rfam:Hyphopichia burtonii NRRL Y-1933 unplaced genomic scaffold HYPBTscaffold_4, whole genome shotgun sequence.